UUGGCUAAGGUGUCUUGGCUAAGGUGUCUUGGCUAAUGUGUCUUGGCUAAUGUGUCUUGGCUAGGGUGUCUUGGCUAAUGUGUCUUGGCUAAGGUGUCUUGGCUAAUGUGUCUUGGCUAAUGUGUCUUGGCUAAGGUGUCUUGGCUAAGGUGUCUUGGCUAAGGUGUCUUGGCUAAUGUGUCUUGGCUAGGGUGUCUUGGCUAAGGUGUCUUGGCUAAUGUGUCUUGGCUAAGGUGUCUUGGCUAAGGUGUCUUGGCUAAUGUGUCUUGGCUAAGGUGUCUUGGCUAAGGUGUCUUGGCUAAUGUGUCUUGGCUAAGGUGUCUUGGCUAAGGUGUCUUGGCUAAGGUGUCUUGGCUAAUGUGUCUUGGCUAAGGUGUCUUGGCUAAGGUGUCUUGGCUAAUGUGUCUUGGCUAAGGUGUCUUGGCUAAUGUGUCUUGGCUAAUGUGUCUUGGCUAGGGUGUCUUGGCUAAGGUGUCUUGGCUAAUGUGUCUUGGCUAAGGUGUCUUGGCUAAGGUGUCUUGGCUAAUGUGUCUUGGCUAAGGUGUCUUGGCUAAGGUGUCUUGGCUAAGGUGUCUUGGCUAAUGUGUCUUGGCUUAUGUGUCUUGGCAAAGGUGUCUUGGCUAAUGUGUCUUGGCUAAUGUGUCUUGGCUAAGGUGUCUUGGCUAAUGUGUCUUGGCUAAGGUGUCUUGGCUAAGGUGUCUUGGCUAAGGUGUCUUGGCUAAUGUGUCUUGGCUAAUGUGUCUUGGCUAGGGUGUCUUGGCUAAUGUGUCUUGGCUAAGGUGUCUUGGCUAAGGUGUCUUGGCUAAUGUGUCUCGGCUAAGGUGUCUUGGCUAAUGUGUCUUGGCUAAUGUGUCUUGGCUAAGGUGUCUUGGCUAAUGUGUCUCGACUAAGGUGUCUUGGCUAAGGUGUCUUGGCUAAAGUGUCUUGGCUAAGGUGUCUUGGCUAAUGUGUCUUGGCUAAUGUGUCUCGGCUAAGGUGUCUUGGCUAAUGUGUCUUGGCUAAGGUGUCUUGGCUAAGGUGUCUUGGCUAAUGUGUCUCGGCUAAGGUGUCUUGGCUAAUGUGUCUUGGCUAAGGUGUCUGGGCUAAGGUGUCUUGGCUAAGGUGUCUUGGCUAAGGUGUCUUGGCUAAUGUGUCUUGGCUAAUGUGUCUUGGCUAAUGUGUCUUGGCUAAGGUGUCUGGGCUAAUGUGUCUUGGCUAAUGUGUCUUGGCUAAGGUGUCUUGGCUAACGUGUCUUGGCUAAGGUGUCUUGGCUAAGGUGUCUUGGCUAAUGUGUCUUGGCUAAGGUGUCUUGGCUAAGGUGUCUUGGCUAAUGUGUCUUGGCUAAGGUGUCUUGGCUAAGGUGUCUUGGCUAAUGUGUCUUGGCUAAUGUGUCUUGGCUAAGGUGUCUUGGCUAAGGUGUCUUGGCUAAGGUGUCUUGGCUAAGGUGUCUUGGCUAAGGUGUCUUGGCUAAUGUGUCUUGGCUAAGGUGUCUUGGCUAAUGUGUCUUGGCUAAGGUGUCUUGGCUAAGGUGUCUUGGCUAAUGUGUCUUGGCUUAGGUGUCUUGGCUAAUGUGUCUUGGCUAAGGUGUCUUGGCUAAGGUGUCUUGGCUAAGGUGUCUUGGCUAAGGUGUCUUGGCUAAGGUGUCUUGGCUAAGGUGUCUUGGCUAAUGUGUCUUGGCGAAGGUGUCUUGGCUAAGGUGUCUUGGCUAAGGUGUCUUGGCUAAUGUGUCUUGGCUAAUGUGUCUUGGCUAAGGCGUCUUGGCUAAGGUGUCUCGGCUAAGGUGUCUUGGCUAAUGUGUCUUGGCUAAGGUGUCUUGGCUAAUGUGUCUUGGCUAAGGUGUCUUGGCUAAGGUGUCUUGGCUAAUGUGUCUUGGCUUAGGUGUCUUGGCUAAUGUGUCUUGGCUAAGGUGUCUUGGCUAAUGUGUCUUGGCUAAGGUGUCUUGGCUAAGGUGUCUUGGCUAAGGUGUCUUGGCUAAGGUGUCUUGGCUAAUGUGUCUUGGCUAAGGUGUCUUGGCUAAGGUGUCUUGGCUAAGGUGUCUUGGCUAAUGUGUCUUGGCUAAUGUGUCUUGGCUAAGGUAUCUUGGCUAAGGUGUCUUGGCUAAGGUGUCUUGGCUAAGGUGUCUUGGCUAAUGUGUCUUGGCUAAGGUGUCUUGGCUAAUGUGUCUUGGCUAAGGUGUCUUGGCUAAUGUGUCUUGGCUAAUGUGUCUUGGCUAAGGUGUCUUGGCUAAUGUGUCUUGGCUAAGGUGUCUUGGCUAAGGUGUCUUGGCUAAUGUGUCUUUUCUAAGGUGUCUUGGCUAAGGUGUCUUGGCUAAGGUGUCUUGGCUAAGGUGUCUUGGCUAAGGUGUCUUGGCUAAUGUGUCUUGGCUAAUGUGUCUUGGCUAAGGUGUCUUGGCUAAUGUGUCUUGGCUAAGGUGUCUUGGCUAAGGUGUCUUGGCUAAGGUGUCUUGGCUAAGGUGUCUUGGCUAAGGUGUCUUGGCUAAGA